rnacentral:rRNA from 2 species
CGGAUUUAUUGGGCGUAAGCGAGCGCAGGCGGUUUUUUAAGUCUGAUGUGAAAGCCUUCGGCUCAACCGAAGAAGUGCAUCGGAAACUGGGAAACUUGAGUGCAGAAGAGGACAGUGGAACUCCAUGUGUAGCGGUGAAAUGCGUAGAUAUAUGGAAGAACACCAGUGGCGAAGGCGGCUGUCUGGUCUGUAACUGACGCUGAGGCUCGAAAGUAUGGGUAGCAAACAGGAUUAGAUACCCUGGUAGUCCAUACCGUAAACGAUGAAUGCUAAGUGUUGGAGGGUUUCCGCCCUUCAGUGCUGCAGCUAACGCAUUAAGCAUUCCGCCUGGGGAGUACGGCCGCAAGGCUGAAACUCAAAGGAAUUGACGGGGGCCCGCACAAGCGGUGGAGCAUGUGGUUUAAUUCGAAGCUACGCGAAGAACCUUACCAGGUCUUGACAUACUAUGCAAAUCUAAGAGAUUAGACGUUCCCUUCGGGGACAUGGAUACAGGUGGUGCAUGGUUGUCGUCAGCUCGUGUCGUGAGAUGUUGGGUUAAGUCCCGCAACGAGCGCAACCCUUAUUAUCAGUUGCCAGCAUUAAGUUGGGCACUCUGGUGAGACUGCCGGUGACAAACCGGAGGAAGGUGGGGGAUGACGUCAAAUCAUCAUGCCCCUUAUGACCUGGGCUACACACGUGCUACAAUGGAUGGUACAACGAGUUGCGAACUCGCGAGAGUAAGCUAAUCUCUUAAAGCCAUUCUCAGUUCGGAUUGUAGGCUGCAACUCGCCUACAUGAAGUCGGAAUCGCUAGUAAUCGCGGAUCAGCAUGCCGCGGUGAAUACGUUCCCGGGCCUUGUACACACCGCCCGUCACACCAUGAGAGUUUGUAACACCCAAAGUCGGUGGGGUAACCUUUUANGAACCAGCCGCCUAANNGGGACAGAUGANUNNGGUGA